AUUGAACGCUGGCGGCAUGCUUUACACAUGCAUGUCGAACGGUAACAGGCCGCAAGGUGCUGACGAGUGGCGAACGGGUGCGUAAUGCAUCGGAACGUGCCCAGUCGUGGGGGAUAACUACUCGAAAGAGUAGCUAAUACCGCAUACGAUCUAUGGAUGAAAGCGGGGGACCGUAAGGCCUCGCGCGAUUGGAGCGGCCGAUGUCAGAUUAGGUAGUUGGUGGGGUAAAGGCUCACCAAGCCAACGAUCUGUAGCUGGUCUGAGAGGACGACCAGCCACACUGGGACUGAGACACGGCCCAGACUCCUACGGGAGGCAGCAGUGGGGAAUUUUGGACAAUGGGCGCAAGCCUGAUCCAGCAAUGCCGCGUGCAGGAAGAAGGCCUUCGGGUUGUAAACUGCUUUUGUACGGAACGAAACGGCUCUGGUUAAUACCCGGGGCUAAUGACGGUACCGUAAGAAUAAGCACCGGCUAACUACGUG
rnacentral:rRNA from 1 species